UAUUCCUUUAAAACAGUCCUGUGAGGCUGUCAAGGAGACGGAUUAAAAACAUGCACCAUGAUACUUAAUUGUGCUAUAUUUUGCUGAAUCUCCUUGUUUCCAAGGAGAUCUUUUUAUU
rfam:Streptococcus pyogenes MGAS9429, complete genome.